GCUGGGCACGGUGGCACAUGCCUGUAGUCCUAGCUACUCGGAGGCUGAGGUGGGAGGAUUGCUUGAGCCCAGAAAGUUGAGGCUGCAGUGAGCUGUGAUCACACCACUGCACUACAGCCUGGGCGACAGAGCAAGAUCCUGUCUCAA
ensembl:misc_RNA Metazoa_SRP Metazoan signal recognition particle RNA